rnacentral:tRNA from 1 species
GCGGGGGUACCCGAGACCAUGCAAGGGUCCUCGUCCUACGUAGGCCUUCGUGGGUUCGAAUCCCACCCCCCGCACCA